rnacentral:lncRNA from 1 species
UUAACUUUCUUCACUAGUGGAUGGGAAGAAAGGAACUCAGCAAUCUUUUGUGCAUUUUCCUGUUAGAGGUUCAGAAAUGUUAGUUUCAAAUAGUUAACUUUCUUCACUAGUGGAUGGGAAGAAAGGAACUCAGCAAUCUUUUGUGCAUUUUCCUGUUAGAGGUUCAGAAAUGUUAGUUUCACAUGGUUAACUUUCUUCACUAGUGAAUGGGAAGAAAGGAACUCAGCAAUCUUUUGUGCAUUUUCCUGUUAGAGAUUCAGAAACGUUAGUCUCAAGUUUGAACUUGAGCAGAU